GUUUUAAUAAUUUAAAUAAAAUAUUGGUCUUGUAAACCAAAAAUAAAUAAACUUUUAAAACU
rnacentral:tRNA from 1 species